CGGGUGAGUAACGCGUGAGGAACCUGCCUCGAAGAGGGGGACAACAGUUGGAAACGACUGCUAAUACCGCAUAAGCCCACGGCUCGGCAUCGAGCAGAGGGAAAAGGAGCAAUCCGCUUUGAGAUGGCCUCGCGUCCGAUUAGCUAGUUGGUGAGGUAACGGCCCACCAAGGCAACGAUCGGUAGCCGGACUGAGAGGUUGAACGGCCACAUUGGGACUGAGACACGGCCCAG
rnacentral:rRNA from 1 species